rnacentral:rRNA from 1 species
CAGUCGCCGCGGUAAUACGAAGGGUGCAAGCGUUAAUCGGAAUUACUGGGCGUAAAGCGUGCGUAGGCGGUUGUGUAAGACAGGUGUGAAAUCCCCGGGCUUAACCAGGGAACUGCGCUUGUGACUGCACAGCUAGAGUAUGGCAGAGGGGGGUGGAAUUCCACGUGUAGCAGUGAAAUGCGUAGAGAUGUGGAGGAACACCGAUGGCGAAGGCAGCCCCCUGGGCCAAUACUGACGCUCAUGCACGAAAGCGUGGGGAGCAAACAGGAUUAGAUACCCCUGUAGUCCCUGUCUCUUAUAU